UUUGUCUCAGUGGUUUAAAUCUAAUCAUCUCUCUCUCUCCAGCUGUGUAAUGCCUAACAAGAAUUCAGCUGCACAGGCAGGUUUUUAAUUGCAAUACCCAUAGGAAAGAGUCCCAAAAGUCUUAACAUGUAUCCAUGCAAUUUCUUCUACCAUAGGUGGUUUUAUUUCCAUAAUAGCUACAUUACUAUGACUAUCUGGCAGUUUACUGUGUCUUUUUCCAGCUAAGGUGAUUCAUCCCAUUUUUAAAAUUCACUGGUGUUAGCACUGGAAGCACCCACUCAGCCUCUGACAGGGCGACCAUCCUGUUCAUUCCCAGGUUUAACCAAUGGUAGCUGACAGAUGCAGACAUGAGCCAUGGACCUGCAGUUCCCUGGUGCCCAGCUGCUCUUGUCCUGUUAGUGCAAGUCUGAAGUUUCAAGGCUGGUGUUGAGUCACACCCAACCAAGCGGUGAAGGUCUAGACCACAUGUGAGCCCUCAGAGGGCUCUUGCUAAAAGUCUUAAAGUACUCCCAUGAGAAAAGGCACUCCUAAGGGCUGAAGGAAUGAUACUGUGGCGUAACUUUACUAUGUAAUCUGAGGUUUCUGGAUAUCUGCCCAUCUACCUGACACACGAUAUUGUGAACCUGCAAAUUAUGACCCUGGGGUUUCCCAGCACACCUGUCAGCAAUCAUCAGAGGACAGAAGAGGUGUUGACAGCCUGCUCCAUGACCAACAUCAGCAGUGUAGGAAGAAUGCUGCCCACCUUCCCUGUAAGGUACAAUUCUCUCAAAUCACACUACCAUCGGUGGAGACAAGGCGUGGCACAACUCUUGCCCGCAUUCAAAAGGUAUUUCAUGCACGAUUGGCUGCUGCUGCCAGAUGACCCAGACACCAAGUGUCCCUGGCAGUGUGCCUGAGCCAUGGCAUCACUUCAUGAUCCUGUGUUUGCUAUUGGUGAUUGUGUGAGUUGCUGUAUGGGCAUAUUGUUGCUCAUCUUUCCUACUGCUUCAUUAAAGCUGUGUUUUAUAA